UCUCCGUUGGUGAACCAGCGGAGGGAUCAUUACAGAGUUGCAAAACUCCCAAACCAUUGUGAACGUUACCUAUCCCGUUGCUUCGGCGGGCGGCCCGGGCCCCGCGCCCGGCGCCCCCCGGUCCCCCGUGGGCGCCCGCCGGAGGUAAACCAAACCCUUGAAUUGCAUGGCCUCUCUGAGUCUUCUGUACUGAAUAAGUCAAAACUUUCAACAACGGAUCUCUUGGUUCUG
rnacentral:misc_RNA from 1 species